rnacentral:tRNA from 1 species
GGAGGCGUGUCCGAACUGGCUAAGGAGCCGGUCUUGAAAAUCGGUGGGUCGAGAGGCCCAUGUGGGUUCGAGUCCCACCGCCUCCGCCA